GGGUAUUCUAGUAGUGAUAGUGUAUGUCACAUUUAAAUUUGGACUGCACAGAAGAUAACUCCAAUUACAAUCCGUAACCAGAAUUUGCAGUGCAGUGUAAUGAAAGUAAUUGCGCUUCCAGUGAAUUGCCAAAGUUCAUUUCAUACUUGGACAUUCCAGUGGUCAUCGGUCAAUGAAAAACAAAAUUUCGAUGGUCCGCUCAUGCCACUUUUAAACUAUGAAACGUGGCUAAUGCAAGACCAUAGCUAUUUGUACAGAUAAUGUAACAAAUCUGGUCAUUAUUUUACAUUGCCUUAUGGAGCAGAGAAUAUGUACAUAUUGUCAUGUCUUUGUGCUAUAAUAUAUAGUUGAGUGACACCAUAU
rnacentral:lncRNA from 1 species